rnacentral:sRNA from 1 species
CGGUUUCGUCGGUGCCGUCCUCCCCGGCAAUGACGAUAUGGUCGAUCCUCUCCUCCCUGGAUCGGCCAACAACACGACACCCGCCGGAUCCUCCCCCGGCGGGUGUUGUCG